UACGUAGGGUGCGAGCGUUAAUCGGAAUUACUGGGCGUAAAGCGUGCGCAGGCGGUUCGCCAAGUCAGGUGUGAAAUCCCCGGGCUUAACCUGGGAAUUGCGCUUGAAACUAGCGGGCUUGAGUGUGGCAGAGGGGGGUGGAAUUCCACGUGUAGCAGUGAAAUGCGUAGAUAUCAAGUGGAACACCAGUGGCGAAGGCGAGUCUCUGGACGACACCUGACGCUGAGGCACGAAGCCAGGGGAGCAAACGGG
rnacentral:rRNA from 1 species